GACGAACCGAGCGAACGUUGUUCGGAAUUACUGGGCGUAAAGGGCCAGUAGGCGGCCAACUAAGUCCGACGUGAAAUCCCUAGGCUUAACCUAGGAACUGCGUCGGAUACUGGAUGGCUUGAAUUCGGGAGAGGGAUGCAGAAUUCCAGGUGUAGCGGUGAAAUGCGUAGAUAUCUGGAGGAAUACCGGUGGCGAAGGCGGCGACCUGGGUAGAUACUGACGCUGAGGUGCGAAAGCGUGGGGAGCAAACAGG
rnacentral:rRNA from 1 species